GUUAUUUUGAAAGCCUUUCAAAAGCAAUUUACACCACAUCCCGAAGAAGAUGUUGACGAAUUUUAUAAUUGUGUCAAAGCGGUUUUUGGUCAAAUCACCAAUGUUAGAUUACCGGACGAUGUUGAGGAGGCUCUGCAAGAAGACUAUCUGGAACUCUAUAUAUUUUUCCGCUUAUCUUUAAGUGAUGCAGUCACCUAUAAGGGUCACGCUGAUCUAGUCAACGAGAUACGGCUUCCUAACCGAGGUCCCUAUAUGGAAUUUAAUAAUGCAGAAGUAUAUAAGGGUCAUUUAAAAAAGAUUCUGGAUGUUGUAAGCGACCCGGAAUGUAAAGAUGGGCAC